rnacentral:lncRNA from 1 species
UUCUUGGUAGCUGGAGUACUCUAGAGCACCAAUCUGAUAAAUAGCCUGUUUGGCCAAGCUUUUAAAUCUACUUUUUUGAGAAGUGUUUUUCUCCAAAGUGCUUUCCAGAAAAGUACUUUUGGUGAGAAGCAGUUUGUGUUUGGCUAAUUAUUUUUUUUUGGGUAACUAAAACUUUUAUUACCAAGUAAUAUUUACACUGAUUUGCUUUAGCUUGUUCUAGACAUACGCCCCAGACUAAGCUACUUCUUCUUUUCCUCUAAUCUCCCCGUAU